AUCAUCUCUUCCUUGAGUUUCCCAUAAAUUCUCAAGCUUCUUUGGAAUUAAACAUCCAAGUCUCCUUCGUUGAAGUUGAUUAGAUGGAGGUCCCCACAGCUGUCCUACAGGUAGUGUGGUUGACAAUUAUAUUACCAAUAUCAAGAGGCUCAUAGUGAGUGUUAAUGGGACAAAUGCUUAAUGAGACACUUAGGGUCACCACAUGAGGUUCCCAGAGGCCAAUGGCAAGGAGGGCUAUCUAGUUUGAUUAUGUUCUAUUUAAAACUACCUUUGGUGGGUUCAAACCCCUAAUUAUGGCCACAAUUAGGGUGAACACUUUUUAAGGCCAGCCCGAUUGGUUUUCAAAUGAAUGAUUUGUUGGUGAAAUAUAAAUUCUCAAAAUUAUUAUC